ensembl:snRNA U6 U6 spliceosomal RNA
GUGCCCUCUUUGGCAGCACACAUACUAAACUAGAAUGACACAGAAAAGAUUAGCAUGGCUCCUGUGCAAAGAUGACCCACAAAUUUGUCAAGUGUUCCAUAUUUUA